GCCGCGGGAUUCGAUUACUCCUACGGGAGGCAGCAGUAGGGAAUCUUCCGCAAUGGACGAAAGUCUGACGGAGCAACGCCGCGUGAGUGAUGAAGGCUUUCGGGUCGUAAAACUCUGUUGUUAGGGAAGAACAAGUGCUAGUUGAAUAAGCUGGCACCUUGACGGUACCUAACCAGAAAGCCACGGCUAACUACGUGCCAGCAGCCGCGGUAAU
rnacentral:rRNA from 1 species